rnacentral:rRNA from 1 species
GCUCAGGAUGAACGCUGGCGGCGUGCCUAACACAUGCAAGUCGAGCGAGGGUUUGCUCAGUAUUGAGUAUUCUAAGACUAGAAUGUUCAAUUCUGAGCAAAACCAAGCGGCGGACGGGUGAGUAACGCGUGGGUAACCUGCCCUAUGCACAUGGAUAACAUACUGAAAAGUUUACUAAUACAUGAUAAUAUAUAUUUGCGGCAUCGCAGAUAUAUCAAAGUGUUAGCGGUAUAGGAUGGACCCGCGUCUGAUUAGCUAGUUGGUGAGAUAACUGCCCACCAAGGCGACGAUCAGUAGCCGACCUGAGAGGGUGAUCGGCCACAUUGGAACUGAGACACGGUCCAAACUCCUACGGGAGGCAGCAGUA